CAACAAUGAAAGCCAUUAUUCAGAGGGUCACCAAGGCGACUGUGACAGUGGGAGAAGAACAGAUCAGUUCUGUGGGACGAGGACUCUGUGUCCUGCUGGGUAUAUCAGUGGAGGACACACAGAGGGAUGUGGACUACAUGUAAAGAAGACAAGGAUAGAGCACAUGGAAAAUCAAACACUCAGCCACAAGCAGACACAGUUAAUGCUGAAAAGGACAGUGACCAGAGUAAGACAACUGAGGCGCAGACAGACGUAGCGACGUCUGACAGAGAGAGUGAUGAGGAUGACAGAGGAGAACUUGACUAUGUAAACACACAUGAAGAAGACAGAGACAGUGCACAUGAAACAUCAAAGACCCAUCAACCAGACACAGUUAGCUCUGACAAGGACAGUGACCGUGAUCAAUGCAUGGAAAGUGAAGAAGAGAGUGAUGAAUAUAAAACAGAAGAAAGGAUCAAGACAAAAGUCAAAGUGCACAAACAAUUAGGUCAACAUAAACAAAAAGAAAACAGAAAUUGCAAAGCAGGACCAAAAAUAUUCAAAAUCAAUAUAACAAGAAAGCAAUGGAACAACAUUAAACCUAAACAUGGGAAGGACAAACUAGCUGCCCCUUGGACUGACAUUCUUUAUAAUGAGUUUAGAAAAUACAACCCAUCCUGCACACUUGCGUUCAAAUAUCAGCACGUCAAAGGACCAUAUUCUCGGAAGAAGUAUUCUUCUUUUUUCUGUGCAGCAGCCAAAUGCACAUUUGAUGGGUGCAAGGCUGCAUACAAAUUUUCAGUAAAGACAAAACCAAACAAGGCAGACAAGAAGAUCUCCUUUACAGUCAUGCGCUUUGGUGAUGUGGUACAUAUGAAAAAUCAAAGGCGUUUUAGACCAGCAAAAUACUUAAGAAGAGGGAAAAUCGCCAAAGCUGUAAGAAAAGGUGUUAGUAGCUACUAUUACAGACAGCUGAAAAUGACACCAACUGACGAAAUAAUGGCUGGGAAUAUAACAAGAAGUCUCACAAAAGACAUUUUAAAAACAAUAUCAUCCGAAGUCAGGAAAAGUACAAGACUCCACAACGAUAUGAUGCUGGAACUCCUGCUAUUUCAAAAAAUCAUCAAAGAGAACAGCAGCCAACCAUCAUCAAAUGGCUAUGUACAGCACCUGCAAAUAAAUCCUUUUGCUGUACAUUUGUAUACAGACACUGGAAUGAGGAUUUUAACAGAGCAUUUGGCAAAAAAAUCUCCUGUCACCCUUCACCUGGAUGCUACUGGUAGCGUUGUACAGAAGAUCACAGAUCAAAAUAAAAAAGUUCUGUACUAUGCAUUAGUUUUGCCAGGUAUGGGUAAGGAUAAGCCUCCUUUGCCUGUCACAGAACUGAUCACCAACAGUCAUUCUGUUCCUUCCAUUUCGUAUUGGCUCAUGGAAUUCCAUCGAAAGCUGUCUCAUAAAUCAAAAAGACAAAUUGCACAGGUUGAGACAGAUUACAGUUGGGCCCUUAUGAACAGUGUUCUCACAGCCUUCAAUAAGGAAAAUAUGUCAGUGUACCUUGACAGAGCAUUUGAAAUUGCUGCUGGAAAAAUGUCUUCCAUUCCAAAAUUCACUGUGCUGCAUCUGUGCUCUGCCCACAUUAUUAAAGCUGUAACAGAUGCAUUCAGCCACAAAUCUAAAGACCGGGGCAUAAAGGAGUAUGCAACAUUUUGUUUUGCCUUUCUUCUAAACUGCACAGAUAUAAACAUGGCCCUUGAAGUUUUUUAUCACGUGCAUACUUUUUGAUGCACAGGAUCAGACGUCUUCGGUGCUUGAAAGCAAAACAUACCUUGAUGCCUGUGUUUUCAAAAAAAAGCAUAUAGAGGUGGAAGACAGAGGACCUGUGACAAAAGAGGAAGAAGGCAGUGGCGAGAAAAAUGCGAACCGCAUUAUGGCGAAGUCACCAUUUACAUCUCUCUUCCAAGCACAGCGAGACCAGGCUGAGUGUGAUGUUCUGUCUGAUGAUUCUGUUAACAUUCAAAACUCGUAUUACUGUCCUGGGGUCAUCACUGUGCUGCUAAAGAAUUAUAUGGGGAUUUUUCCAUUGUGGAGUGGAUUGUUGCUCGGACAUCUCUCCCGUCACAUGAAAGACUCAGGCAGUACAGGAGAAGGAACAGACAAAACAAGAAACACCAACUGCCAUGUUGAGCUCUGGUUUGCUCUGGUCAAGCACCGUAUUCUGCUUAAGAAGAAGUACCUGAGACCAGCUGACUUCAUCUCCAAAAUGUUUGCGUCACUGCAAGGAAGAUAUGUGGAGCAUAUCAUCAAGCACAAUCUUCCUCUCCAGAUUUUAGAUAGAGACUAUGAAAUUUGCUGCAAACCAGAUGAUGACCAUGAAGAACACUGGAAUAAGAGAGGCAGCUCUGAUGCUAAACCAAAGAAAAAGUCAAAAUACUUUAGUUCACCCAAAAAACUCCCAGCUCCCAAGAGACAACAAACCGCAAAAUUCAAGAAAACAAGUGUAGCAGAUGAUCAUCAAGAUAAAAAUGCUCAGGUAAAAUCACUGUGGAAGAAGAAAAACACAGAGGUAGUGGUUGCAGUGAUUCCAUUACAGACCAAGGGACGCAGCCUACUCAUCCACCACUCUGAGUUACGCACACUACGACCACAUCAGUGGUUGACAGGAGAGGUUAUUGAGGGCCUGUUUCAUGUUGCUGCCCAUGCAGUGAAUGUAGUGGACAGCAUCUACCUGUUGGAUCACUACACAGCAGGUGUUGUCUUGUUUGGGGACCGAAAAGACCUGCCACGCCACAGUUUACCAAAGGUAAACUUUGAAAACUACAGAGCUGUUAUUUCAUUUGUUUUGGUCAACAACAACCACUGGAAAUUGCUGUACAUUAAUGCAGAAACCUGUAAGGUGUACCUUGUUGAUCCAGCACGUGGGUCGUCAGAGCUCGAUGACUCAAAACAUGCUGCUGAAAGAAUACAGUAAGUCAACAUUUAAGCUAUAUUAAUUCUCCAAGCAAAGAUACGUAGGUGACAAAGCAACACAUAUUUAGUAUCAUCUAUGUUACAACACUUUGAAAAUUGGAUGACUGGGAAAUAAGAUGAGCUAAGACAAAACAAGAUAAGAUAGGCCUUUGUAAGUGACACUGCAGAAAAACUGACAGCUAAGUGAAAAACUGUACUCUGUACAACAGUAUUUUUGAUGCUUAAUAACCACUGUCAGUGUUACUCAUAAACAUUUAAGUGAAACCAUCAUGUGAGGCAGACAUACUCUCCUUGUUCCUUUUUGUUCAACCAUAUAGUUUGGACUACCUCAGAUUGGUCCUUUAUUAUACAGUUGCAGGUCAAGAAUGCUGGGGGUCAGGACCCACAAAGCUCCUAUCUCUCCCUCUCUCUCUAUCUGUCUUACUGAGAUGUCCCGUCAUUGCAUUUUGUUGACUUGACUUCUUCCUUGGAGUCCUUGUGCUUUAUCAUUAGCAGGUUCUCAAGGAUCGUGGUUUGACCAGCUGAUGUGGAUUUUACCUCAGACUGUCUCUAAAAACAGAUUGACUUGACUUGACUUGACUAAUGAUGUGAGUACUUCAAAAUGAGGAGGACGUGCCACUCAAGAACAGAUUGGGUGGAUGUGAAGUGGACAGGAGGAGUAUUAAACCACCCAUUUCAGCAGGAUGGCAACAAUUGUGGAGUUGUUGUUGUCAAGAUUGCAGAAGCCUUGAUGCAGGCCUUCCCUUUGAUCCCGGACAUCACCUUUCACACGUCAAAGAGGGAAAUGCAAAGGGAGAGGGAGAUCCUGGCUAUUAAACUGCUAGAGGCAUCAGUCUUUGAAGAGCACUCUUGUUGUGCAACAUGUGCAGCUUCUAAGCCUCCAGGAUCUGGACCGCCCAUCACUGACUGGAUCCAAUGUGACACGUGUGCCAGGUGGUUCCAUGUCCAGUGCUUGGCAAUGGACAGCAAGACUUUUGAAAAGGCAAAAGAGAGAACGUGGGAAUGUCCGUUGUGUGUCUAGCAAGUCUCCAUGUUUCCAGGUAGAGUGGGGACCAGAAGACGACUGGAAACCACAAGUGAACACAAGUGACGGACCGUGAAGUGCCAUAUGGGGCCGCUGGCUAAAAUUGUUAAAGCUAAAUAAAUCGAUCUCAUAUCAAUCUGACAUUGACAAAAACGAAAACUAAGGGAAUUUUAUCCAUAAUUUUUAUGCGUUUUAGUUAGUUUUGUAAACACACAAUACAGUUUCAGUUAGUUAUCAUUUUUUU